GGUUCAAACAUGGCUGCGCUGAGAGUUCUAUUGCUUUGGGCGCCGGGAGCAGGAGGUACUCCGCGAAUGAGAACAUUGAGAAUGUGUUCGGCAUAACUCAUUUCUUUGUAUCUCCCUGCACUCUGUGCUGGGAAAAUGAAUCAUCCAUUUGGAAAAGAGGAAGCUGCUUCGCAGAAGCAGCUUUUUGGAUUUUUCUGCGAAUGCCUGCGGAGGGGAGAAUGGGAGCUGGCACAGGCAUGUGUACCUCAGCUACAGGAGGGACAAGGGGAUAUCCCAAAGAGGGUAGAAGACAUACUUCAGGCAUUGGUGGUGUGUCCAAAUCUGCUGAGAUGUGGGCAGGACAUCAACCCUCAAAGAGUAGCCUGGGUCUGGCUUCUUGUACUGGAGAAAUGGUUGGCCCGGGAAAAGAAGUUACUCCCAGUUGUUUUCCGGAGAAAGCUUGAGUUUCUUUUAUUGUCAGAAGACCUCCAAGGUGACAUUCCAGAGAACAUCCUCGAGGAGCUGUAUGAGACCUUAACACAGGGUGCAGUAGGCCACGUGCCUGACGGAAAUCCAAGGAGGGAGAGCUGGACUCCUCGUCUCAGCUCCGAAGCUGUCUCUGUGCUCUGGGAUCUCCUGAGGCAGUCUCCCCAGCCAGCACAGGCCCUGCUGGAGCUCCUGCUUGAGGAGGAUGACGGUACUGGCCUCUCUCACUGGCCUCUGCAGAAUGCACUGGUGGACCUCAUCCGAAAGGCAUUGCGGGCUUUGCAGGGCCCUGAUUCGGUGCCCCCUGGGGUAGUCGAUGCCAUCUAUGGAGCCCUGCGGACUCUGCGUUGCCCCGCAGAACCACUUGGGGUUGAGUUGCGUCUCCUGUGUGAGGAACUACUAGAGGCCUGCAGGACCAAGGGGAGUCCCCUGCGGGAGGAGCGGCUGCUCAGCUGCCUGCUGCACAAGGCCAGCCGGGGCCUGCUGUCCCUGUAUGGCCAUACCUAUGCAGAGAAGGUCACAGAAAAGCCACCGAGGGCUACAGCCUCGGGAAAAGUCUCACCAGAUCAUCUAGAUCCUGAGCGGGCAAUGCUAGCCCUGUUCUCCAAUCCCAACCCAGCCGAGGCUUGGAAAGUGGCCUAUUUCUACUGCCUGAGCAACAACAAACACUUCCUCGAGCAGAUUCUGGUAACAGCACUAACAUUGUUGAAAGAAGAAGACUUCCCAAAUCUUGGCUGCCUACUUGAUAGAGAAUUCAGGCCCCUCAGUUGCCUGCUUGUACUCCUGGGCUGGACACACUGCCAGAGCCUAGAGUCAGCCAAGAGGCUGCUCCAGACCCUGCACAGGACCCAGGGCCCAGGCUGUGAUGAGCUCCUCAGGGAUGCCUGCGAUGGGUUGUGGGCUCACCUGGAGGUCCUGGAGUGGUGCAUACAGCAGAGCAGCAACCCCAUACCAAAGAGAGAUCUGUUGUAUCAUUUACACGGUGGAGACAGCCACUCAGUGCUCUACACUCUCCAUCACCUUACAAACCUUCCAGCCCUCAAGGAGGAAGAUGUUCUCAAGCUCUUACAGAAAGUGCCAGCCAAGGACCCCCAGCAAGAGCCUGAUGCAGUUGAUGCUCCAGUCCCUGAGCACCUGAGCCAGUGUCAGAACCUGACACUCUACCAGGGCUUCUGUGCCAUGAAGUAUGCCAUCUAUGCCCUCUGUGUAAACUCACACCAGCACUCCCAGUGCCAGGACUGUAAAGACAGCCUCUCUGAGGACCUGGCCUCAGCUACAGAGCCAGCGAAUGACUCUCUCUCCUCCCCAGGUGCUGCAAAUCUCUUCUCAACUUACCUGGCCAGGUGUCAACAGUAUCUGUGCAGUAUUCCUGACUCUCUGUGCCUGGAGCUUCUGGAAAACAUCUUCUCAUUGCUUCUCAUCACCUCUGCUGAUCUUCACCCAGAGCCUCACUUGCCUGAGGACUAUGCUGAGGAUGAUGACAUUGAGGGGAAGAGCCCCUCAGGUUUGAGGUCCCCAUCAGAGAGCCCUCAGCACAUAGCACAUCCUGAAAGGAAGUCAGAACGGGGUUCUCUGGGAGUCCCAAAGACCCUUGCUUAUACAAUGCCAAGCCAUGUGAAGGCAGAGCCAAAAGACAGUUACCCAGGGCCUCAUAGGCACAGCUUUUUGGACUUAAAACACUUUACCAGUGGUAUCAGUGGAUUUCUGGCUGAUGAAUUUGCAAUAGGGGCCUUCCUCAGGCUUCUCCAAGAGCAACUGGAUGAGAUCAGUAGCCGCAGCCCCCCUGAGAAGCCAAAGCAAGAAAGUCAGAGCUGCUCAGGAAGCAGAGAUGGACUGCAGAGCCGCCUGCAUCGACUUUCCAAGGUUGUCUCUGAGGCCCAGUGGAGACACAAGGUGGUGACAAGCAACCAUCGUUCAGAGGAGCAACCUUCCCGAAGAUACCAGCCUGCCACACGUCACCCCAGUCUCCGCCGGGGUCGUCGGACGAGAAGGAGCCAGGCAGGUAAUCUGAAGAGCUCAUUCCCAUGCACUAGGCAAGUGGUGUAAUGCUGCUUGUCUAAUACUCUUUAAGAAACAGCACAUGGUCAAAAACAACAAAAGCGUUGUAAAAUUAUCCUAUUCCCACUCCCUCAAGGUAACCCUUGUUAAUAGUUUCCUAUGUAUCCUUUCAGAAAUUUUCCAUGCAAUAUAAACAUGUAUAUCCUUUUAUAUAUAUACACAUGCAUUAUACCAUAUAUUGAGAACUGCAGCUGCUUUUUUCAUUUAUAUCCUUUUAUAUAUACAGAUGUAUUAUACUAUAAAUUGAGAACUUUUUUCACUUACCAUUUUAAAUACUGCUUAGUAUUCCAUUGUC
rnacentral:sRNA from 1 species